AUACAUUUUUUCCCAUAUGGGAUUACCUGGCGUGACGUUUUGAUAACCAUGUAACUCUCUCUAGGACAAGGUGAUUUAUCAAAACAGUCGCCUGUAUCUACCCCCCCAAAAUUAAAUGCUAAUCAGCUGUUUAUGUGGCUAUCAUAAAGAACUACAAAUGCCAUGAUCAUUUGGACGAGACUGCCGAAUCAAGGCAAAGUUGGGCAAUCCUCCUCUCAAAAUACUGCAUCAUGAAGGCUUCCUGGGUGGACCUCUGAGCAUGCCCCAACCCCAGGCUCAGGACGAGCAGUGUCAACAUCCAGCAGGUGGCGCCACAUUAUCUGGAGAAGACUGAAGUUUUCAUUUCCUCCUGAGGACCUGCAUGCCAGCUGUAUCCAGUCCAGUCUCCCAACAUAUCACCUGGCUAUGAGCAGACAGCAUCCUGGGAGCGCCGCAGGUCUCCCAACAUAUCACCUGGCUAUGAGCAGACAGCAUCCUGGGAGCGCCUCAGGUCUCCCAACAUAUCACCUGGCUAUGAGCAGACAGCAUCCUGGGAGUGCCUCAGGUGUCCCAACAUAUCACCCUGCUCUGAGCAGAUUGCAUCCUGGGAGUGCCGCAGGUCUCCCAACAUAUCACCUGGCGCUUCCUGUCUGCAGGGGGAUUGUCAUCCACAUUCUCUCUGUUGCUCUGACUCACCAUUAGGCAAACCAAGACUGACCAGGGGAGGGGAAAAGAGCUAGAUAGAUUAAAUUAUAUUUUCAUUAAAGUAAGAUUAGACCGAAGGGUAAAGAGUGGGAUGAAAAACACGUUCAUGCACGAAUAAAAUGCUUUGUCCGUACUCCC